rnacentral:lncRNA from 1 species
AAAAGUCAAAUACUUUUUAAUCUAGAAGCAGAGACAUGUCCAAGACGGUAAUGCCACAAAUAAAAACUAGAAGACAAAGAAUUCAAACAAAAAAAAGGAUAAUAAAUUAGUUGUGGAACUAGAGGUUGAGGCUGCAAUAUUUGGAACUCUCAACUCAUCCAAAACAUAAAGUCCCCCUUGUCUACGACAUGUCCCAAUCAGCCUCCCGAAAUGAGGAUCCU